UACGGGGGGGGCAAGCGUUGUUCGGAAUUACUGGGCGUAAAGCGUGCGCAGGCGGUUUUGUAAGCCAGAUGUGAAAUCCCCGGGCUCAACCUGGGAAUGGCAUUUGGGACUGCAAGGCUUGAGUGCGGCAGAGGAGACUGGAAUUCCUGGUGUAGCAGUGAAAUGCGUAGAUAUCAGGAGGAAUACCGAUGGCGAAGGCAGGUCUCUGGGCUGACACUGACGCUCAUGCACGAAAGCGUGGGGAGCAAACAGG
rnacentral:rRNA from 1 species